rnacentral:rRNA from 1 species
CCGCUGAAUUUAAGCAUAUCAGUAAGCGGAGGAAAAGAAACUAACAAGGAUUCCCUUAGUAAUGGCGAGUGAACAGGGAAUAGCUCAGAACCGAAUCCCUCAGCUUUUAGUUGUUGGGAAAUGUGGUGUUUGGGUUUGCUUUCGCGGCGGUUUGCUCAUCGUAGAUCCACAUGAUUGUGGUUCAUUGCCCAUAGAGGGUGUAAGGCCCGUAACGAUGAAGUGACUGCUGCUUGGGCAAAACCCUAGAGUCGGGUUGUUUGGGAUUGCAGCCCAAAGUGGGUGGUAAACUCCAUCCAAAGCUAAAUAUGAGCAUGAGUCCGAUAGUAAACAAGUACCGUGAGGGAAAGUUGAAAAGGACUUUGAAGAGAGAGUUCAAUAGUACGUGAAACCGCUCAGAGGUAAGCGGGUAGAGCCCAAAUUAGCUUGUGGUUUUAGAUUCUUCUGAUGCUAGCAUGCUGCUUGACGGACUUGUCUGACGUCGGUGGUAUGACUGGGUGUUGGUUGGUCGAUUGCCACUUGCUUUAACUACCAUCAGCGAGUGAUGGGUUGGCUGUGGAGUUGCUGCUGGCCGGUGCUUUUAUUAGUGCUGGUUUAGACACUUUGCGCUUGCCUGUUGGUUGCUGGGCUAAACGACAUAAUUUGUGCAAGUGUACGCACGAUUCGUUAACUGGCAGGUGACUCCCAAAGAGUUGCUUUGCUUGUUAGUGGGUUGACGUGUGCAUCUCUGUGCUUAUGUCAGCAAUGGUGGUUAUUUGUAGGCCGUCUACCCGGCCCGUCUUGAAACACGGACCAAGGAGUCUAACACAUACGCGAGUCAUUGGGUAGUACGAAACCUACUGGCGUACUGAAAGGAAAGGUCUGCUUUGGUAGACUCAGGUGAGAUCUGCGUUCUCUUGGGGAUGCAGCGCAUCACCGGCUCGUCUCAUGCUUUUUAAGUGGGGCGAAGCAAGAGCGUAUGUGUUGGGACCCGAAAGAUGGUGAACUAUGCUUGCGUAGGCUGAAGCCAAGUGAAAACUUGGUGGAGGGCCGAAGCGCUUCUGACGUGCAAAUCGAUCGUCAAACGUGAGUAUAGGGGCGAAAGACUAAUCGAACCAUCUAGUAGCUGGUUACUUCCGAAGUUUCCCUCAGGAUAGCUGGCACUCGGGAAACAAACAGUUUUAUCCGGUAAAGCGAAUGAUUAGAAGUAUUGGGGGUGAAAUGCCCUCAACUUAUUCUCAAACUUUAAAUGGGUAAGAUGCUCCACUCGCUUGACUGGAGUGGGGCCAUGAAUGUGAGUGCCCAGUGGGCCAUUUUUGGUAAGCAGAACUGGCGAUGUGGGAUGAACCAAACGUGGCGGUUACGGUGCCUGACAUGACGCUCAUCAGAUACCACAAAAGGUGUUGGUUGAUAUAGACAGCAGGACGGUGGCCAUGGAAGUCGGAAUCCGCUAAUGAGUGUGUAACAACUCACCUGCCGAAUCAACCAGCCCUGAAAAUGGAUGGCGCUGGAGCGUCGGACCUAUACCGCGCCCUUACUGCGAUGCAUGGCAUGGAUGUAGUAAGGAGUAGGAAGUCGACGAGGUAAGCAUGGAAGCUGCGGUCGUAAGGCCGAGUCGAGCUGCCUCGUGUGCAGAUCUUGGUGGUAGUAGCAAGUAUUCAAGUGAGACUCUUGAAGGCCGACGUGGAGAAGGGUUCC